rnacentral:rRNA from 1 species
CGGAGAGGGAGCCUGAGAGACGGCUACCAUAUCCAAGGAUAGCAGCAGGCGCGUAAAUUACCCACUGUGGACUCCACGAGGUAGUGACGAGAAAUAUCGAUGCGAAGCGUGUAUGCGUUUUGCUAUCGGAAUGAGAGCAAUGUAAAACCCUCAUCGAGGAUCAACUGGAGGGCAAGUCUGGUGCCAGCAGCCGCGGUAAUUCCAGCUCCAGAAGCAUAUGCUAAAGUUGUUGCAGUUAAAAAGCUCGUAGUUGAAUUUCUGGCAUGGGCGACCGGUGCUUUCCCUGAAUGGGGAUUGAUUGUCUGUGUUGCCUUGGCCAUCUUUYUCUUKUUKUUUUAGGKAAGARAUCUUUCACUGUAAUCAAAGCAGAGUGUUCCAAGCAGGUCGUAUGACCGGUAUGUUUAUUAUGGGAUGAUAAGAUAGGACUUGGGUGCUAUUUUGUUGGUUUGCACGCCUGAGUAAUGGUUAAUAGGAACAGUUGGGGGUAUUCGUAUUUAGGAGCUAGAGGUGAAAUUCUUGGAUUUCCGAAAGACGAACUAGAGCGAAGGCAUUUACCAAGCAUGUUUUCAUUAAUCAAGAACGAAAGUCUGGGGAUCGAAGAUGAUUAGAUACCAUUCGUAGUCA